GAUGAACGCUGGCGGCGUGCCUAAUACAUGCAAGUCGAGCGAACAGACGAGGAUCUUGCUCCUCUGACGUUAGCGGCGGACGGGUGAGUAACACGUGGAUAACCUACCUAUAAGACUGGGAUAACUUCGGGAAACCGGAGCUAAUACCGGAUAAUAUAUUGAACCGCAUGGUUCAAUAGUGAAAGUCGGUUUUGCUGUCACUUAUAGAGGGAUCCGCGCCGCAUUAGCUAGUUGUUAAGUUAACGGCUUACCAAGGGGACGAUGCGUAGCCGACCUGAUGGGGUGAUAGGCCACACUGGAACUGAGACACGGUCCAGACUCCUAAGGGAGGGAGCAGUAGGGAAUCUUCCGCAAUGGGCGAAAGCAUGACGGAGCAACGCCGCGUGAGUGAUGAAGGUCUUCGGAUCGUAAAACUCUGUUAUUAGGGAAGAACAAAUGUGUAAGUAACUAUGCACGUCUUGACGGUACCUAAUCAGAAAGCAACGGCUAACUACGUG
rnacentral:rRNA from 1 species